GAUGAACGCUGGCGGCGUGCCUAAUACAUGCAAGUCGAACGCUUCACUUCGGUGAAGAGUGGCGAACGGGUGAGUAAUACAUAAGUAACCUGGCAUCUACAGGGGGAUAACUGAUGGAAACGUCAGCUAAGACCGCAUAGGUGUAGAGAUCGCAUGAACUCUAUAUGAAAAGUGCUACGGGACUGGUAGAUGAUGGACUUAUGGCGCAUUAGCUUGUUGGUAGGGUAACGGCCUACCAAGGCGACGAUGCGUAGCCGACCUGAGAGGGUGACCGGCCACACUGGGACUGAGACACGGCCCAGACUCCUACGGGAGGCAGCAGUAGGGAAUUUUCGGCAAUGGGGGAAACCCUGACCGAGCAACGCCGCGUGAAGGAAGAAGUAAUUCGUUAUGUAAACUUCUGUCAUAGAGGAAGAACGGUGGAUAUAGGGAAUGAUAU
rnacentral:rRNA from 1 species